AUACAGGGGGUCCAAGCGUUGUUCGGAAUCACUGGGCGUAAAGCGCGUGUAGGCGGCUGUAUAAGUCGAAUGUGAAAUCCCUCAGCUCAACUGAGGACGUGCAUUCGAAACUGUAUAGCUAGAGUAUCGGAGGGGGUGGUGGAAUUCCUAGUGUAGAGGUGAAAUUCGUAGAUAUUAGGAGGAACACCUGUGGCGAAGGCGACCACCUGGACGAUAACUGACGCUGAGACGCGAAAGCGUGGGUAGCAAACAGGAUUAGAUACCCUAGUAGUCC
rnacentral:rRNA from 1 species